rnacentral:lncRNA from 1 species
ACAUUUCAAGGUUUUACAUGUAGUAUAAAAUAAUACAAUUAAACACAUAAUUUUAACAGUUGUUUCUUUAUAUAAUAUUUUGUGGAUUAAAAAGUUAAGAAACUAAAAAAUAAUUAUUAUGCGAAUCUUUCACACCAUAAGAUUGGAAAAAAGUUUGCCUUAUCUUUAUCUUUAUAUAUUAAUAUUCUUCUGUCUCUGCUUCAAUGCAGAGUUCUUUUCUUGGAAUUUUGGGUUUGUUAUAUCUACCCCGCUCUAUAUUUAAACAAUUAGCACUGAAGUAUUUGGUUUUUUUUUACUUUUUAUAGUUUUGGUAGUUUCAAGAUAGAAGGUAACAAAAUUUAGAACAAAAAUAUUACUGAAAAGCAUCAAUUUAUUGUCCACAUCUCUAGACUUUAUUUUUUGCAGGUGUGAGUCAGAUUGCUGAUUAUGAUAUCUUAUUAGACCAUUCUUAAAGUACUUUUUUUAUUUUUUAUUUUAUUUAGGGUAGAAAACCAGCAUUUUGAGUUUUCUUGAGAUUAUUCUUGAUCUGCAGUAAACACACUAUAUAAUAUUCUAUCUCUAUGUAGUCUCAUAUACUAAUUAUACAUUAAACAUAAUGAGAAAAUCAAUAUUAGACUCUUCUGUUAUAUUCAAGUCGUCUAGCUAUUUUUGAUGACUGUCUUUUGACCCCAAGAAUAGAAUAGACUUCAACAUCUUUUCAUUAUUGUGUUGUAAUUUAUCAAUUGGUAGAUUGCCAUAAUUAUUCAUCUACAUCAACAUAACUCCAAAAUGGUAAACACCGUCAAAAUUGACGAAAGAAGUAUAUGUCACACUUAUACAAGGGACAAAGAUAUAUAUAGAGAAAUACA